rnacentral:rRNA from 1 species
GAUGAACGCUGGCGGCGUGCCUAAUACAUGCAAGUCGAGCGAACAGACGAGGAGCUUGCUCCUCUGACGUUAGCGGCGGACGGGUGAGUAACACGUGGAUAACCUACCUAUAAGACUGGGAUAACUUCGGGAAACCGGAGCUAAUACCGGAUAACAUGUUGAACCGCAUGGUUCAACAGUGAAAGACGGUCUUGCUGUCACUUAUAGAUGGAUCCGCGCCGCAUUAGCUAGUUGGUAAGGUAACGGCUUACCAAGGCAACGAUGCGUAGCCGACCUGAGAGGGUGAUCGGCCACACUGGAACUGAGACACGGUCCAGACUCCUACGGGAGGCAGCAGUAGGGAAUCUUCCGCAAUGGGCGAAAGCCUGACGGAGCAACGCCGCGUGAGUGAAGAAGGUCUUCGGAUCGUAAAACUCUGUUAUUAGGGAAGAACAAAUGCGUAAGUAACUAUGCACGUCUUGACGGUACCUAAUCAGAAAGCCACGGCUAACUACGUG